AAAUGGCUUCUCAGAUAUCCUUGACGAUUUCAUUAUGUACAUUUCAAUUUGUAAGCAUUAAUUGUUGCGCCUAUCUAUUCAUCGGUCAAAAUCGGCCCAGGAACGAAGUGCUGUCCUAUGACGCUAAUCAUUUGUGGAGACGCUCUAAAUCAUUAGAUCAAUUUGACCCGUUGAGCAUACUGGCAAGCAAAAACACAUUUCCCGUUCUAAACACUUGAAACGGCGGUUUUAGUUUGCGAAAAUUGUGCGACUACAAAUUUUUCUCUUAGGAGAAGCAUGAGUAUAAUCAGUAGAGAAUAGGAACAAACGUCGAUUCGUAUUGCCCGUUUACAAUUCAAGUCAACGUUCGAAAAAUCGUCCGCGUGCGACUACGAGAGAGACGAAAAGACUCACUCGCGGACCAGUUUCCAGCAAAUGGGUUAAUCGAACCACAUUCUCGGUUGACGAAACUGGAACGUAAACAGUUGGUUAUACCACUGCACAGCCCCACUACAAUAUCACGGUUGUUUCCGGUGCCAAGAAGUAAAAUAGAUGAAAGAGCGAUACUUCCUCAAGCUAAACAAUACUCCGACGCAAUGGAUACGACCCAAGAGUAAGGUGAUUUCAGGUAUCCUCAAUUGACUCCCGUUGACGUCAGCUCCGUGCAACGGGCGAAGUAUUCCAUAAGACCUCUUCGUUUAAUCCAUCUGUUUGGAAGUUUGCUCUUGGAUCAGGUUAAUAGUGUACCGGUACUCCGUCCUGUCAGGAACCGUUUUCGCCAGCGUCUUCCUGGAUACAGAAUGAAAGAGACUUAUGCAGUAAAUUCAACUAAUUGAUAUUACCAUAGUCACCGUACAGUCAUACUAUAGUGGUUCAA